GAUGAACGCUGGCGGCGUGCCUAACACAUGCAAGUCGUACGAGCUCGAUCUUCGGAACGGGUUAGUGGCGCACGGGUGAGUAACACGUAGGUGACCUACCCCAGAGUGGGGGAUAACUUCUCGAAAGAGAGGCUAAUACCGCAUACACUCGGUCAUUCAUUUGGCCGAGCAAAGCUCCGGCGCUUUGGGACGGGCCUGCGUCCGAUUAGCUAGUUGGUAGGGUAAUGGCUUACCAAGGCUUUGAUCGGUAGCUGGUCUGAGAGGACGAUCAGCCACACUGGCACUGACACACGGGCCAGACUCCUACGGGAGGCAGCAGUGAGGAAUAUUGGGCAAUGGGCGAAAGCCUGACCCAGCAACGCCGCGUGAGGGAUGAAGGCCUUCGGGUUGUAAACCUCUUUUCUGGGGAAGAGACAAGGACGGUAUCCCAGGAAUAAGUCUCGGCUAACUACGUGCCAGCAGCCGCGGUAAU
rnacentral:rRNA from 1 species